UACGUAGGGGGCUAGCGUUGUCCGGAAUCAUUGGGCUUAAAGGGCGCGUAGGCGGGCUGGCCAGUCCGGGGUGAAAGCCCACGGCUCAACCGUGGAAGUGCCUUGGAUACUGCCAGUCUCGAGGGAGGUAGGGGCGUGCGGAACUUCCGGUGGAGCGGUGAAAUGCGUAGAUAUCGGAAGGAACACCGGUGGCGAAAGCGGCGCGCUGGACCUCUUCUGACGCUGAGGCGCGAAAGCCAGGGGAGCAAACGGG
rnacentral:rRNA from 1 species